rnacentral:tRNA from 1 species
AUAUUUAUAAGUUAAGUUAAACUAGUGGACUUCAAAUCCAAAAAUAUUAAAAUUUGAUUAAAUAUA